AGAACGAACGCUGGCGGCAUGCCUAAUACAUGCAAGUCGAACGAAGGCUUCGGCCUUAGUGGCGCACGGGUGCGUAACGCGUGGGAAUCUGCCCCUUGGUUCGGAAUAACAGUUGGAAACGACUGCUAAUACCGGAAGAUGACGAAAGUCCAAAGAUUUAUCGCCAAGGGAUGAGCCCGCGUAGGAUUAGCUAGUUGGUGAGGUAAAGGCUCACCAAGGCGACGAUCCUUAGCUGGUCUGAGAGGAUGAUCAGCCACACUGGGACUGAGACACGGCCCAGACUCCUAUGGGAGCAGCAGUAGGGAAUAUUGGACAAGUGGGCGAAAGCCUGAUCAG
rnacentral:rRNA from 1 species